ACUUACGGCGUAGAUCCAGACUCGUACCUGGGGCCCGGCGGCUGGAAAAAAAUUGGACACUUUACACAGAUGGCCCAGAACGGCACCUAUCUAGUGGGAUGUGGUUAUGCUGUGUGUGACGGUAGUCAAUUCACCCGAUACUACGUCUGUGAUUAUGCUGCUGGACAAUCCAAUUUGGCCGCACCUUACACCAGUGGCCGCCGGUGUAGCAAGUGCCCGAACUUCUGCAGAAACGGACAGUGCGAUUGUGGUGGAAAAGUGUGUUACAAUGGUGGUACCCUAAACCUUAAUACUUGUCAAUGUGAAUGCAUGAAUCUAUACAAAGGAGAAACGUGUGAACAACUGGACUGUCCGGCAGAAGAUAAAUGGGUGUGUGGCAGAGAUUGGACCCCCAGCUACUGUAAACGGUUCACCAACGUCCCCUUUGACUGUCCCUACAUGUGCGGCAAAUGCGGAAGCGGCAGCGGAACCGGAAGUUCAAACACUGCAGCAACGAAAAAACCUGCCUUCGUGUCAGCAUAUGGAUGCAAAUACAGUGGGAAGCGCUCCAGCCUAGCGGAGUGUCGUGCGUACGGUGAGAAUGGAAUGGACAUUGGUCAGUGUAGCAGCAUGGGCGGAAGUAUCGCAUGCGCCGACUGUGACCGGUUCUUCAACGUCAAACGGGACAUGUGCCCCGUCAUGUGCGGGCUCUGCGAUCCUCCUUGCAACGGCAAAAAAUGUGAAAAUGGCGGCAAACUGAAUGUAGACACGUGUACCUGCAAAUGCGAGCCCCCGUACAUCGGAGACAGGUGCCAGCAAGCUGACUGUAGCAAGCCGGACAAAGACCACUGUCCCGCCUGGCCCGCCAGCUACUGUGACAAGUACAACAACGUGCCGCAGGACUGUCCCAAGAAAUGCGGUUUAUGUUAAAUCGGAAAUACUUUAAUUCUUACAGAGAAAUCCAUGGAGUUUUUGUGAACCCCAAGAAGUCAAGUGAUCGCCACGUGAUGUAAAUUUAUAGACGUAUCUAUUAGACAAUUCCUGCAGUGUGAAGACUCGAAAGUGCUUUAUGUGUUGUGUUUUAAUUAAUGAACAUGUUUAAUUAUAGGCAAAUGUUUAUUUAAAUUAAUAUAUAUGUACACGUAUAGUUUACUUAAAUAAAAUACAAAAUAUAUUUAU
rnacentral:misc_RNA from 1 species